AACGAACGCUGGCGGCAUGCCUAACACAUGCAAGUCGAACGAGACCUUCGGGUCUAGUGGCGCACGGGUGCGUAACGCGUGGGAACCUGCCCUUAGGUUCGGAAUAACUCCCCGAAAGGGGUGCUAAUACCGGAUAAUGUCUUCGGACCAAAGAUUUAUCGCCUUUGGAUGGGCCCGCGUUGGAUUAGCUAGUUGGUAGGGUAAAAGCCUACCAAGGCGACGAUCCAUAGCUGGUCUGAGAGGAUGAUCAGCCACACUGGGACUGAGACACGGCCCAGACUCCUACGGGAGGCAGCAGUGGGGAAUAUUGGACAAUGGGCGAAAGCCUGACCCAGCAAUGCCGCGUGAGUGAUGAAGGCCUUAGGGUUGUAAAGCUCUUUUACCCGGGAUGAUAAUGACAGUACCGGGAGAAUAAGCCCCGGCUAACUCCGUG
rnacentral:rRNA from 1 species